rnacentral:rRNA from 1 species
GCGGCAGGCCUAACACAUGCAAGUCGAGCGGAAACGAGUUAUCUGAACCUUCGGGGAACGAUAACGGCGUCGAGCGGCGGACGGGUGAGUAAUGCCUAGGAAAUUGCCCUGAUGUGGGGGAUAACCAUUGGAAACGAUGGCUAAUACCGCAUAAUACCUACGGGUCAAAGAGGGGGACCUUCGGGCCUCUCGCGUCAGGAUAUGCCUAGGUGGGAUUAGCUAGUUGGUGAGGUAAUGGCUCACCAAGGCGACGAUCCCUAGCUGGUCUGAGAGGAUGAUCAGCCACACUGGAACUGAGACACGGUCCAGACUCCUACGGGAGGCAGCAGUGGGGAAUAUUGCACAAUGGGCGCAAGCCUGAUGCAGCCAUGCCGCGUGUGUGAAGAAGGCCUUCGGGUUGUAAAGCACUUUCAGUCGUGAGGAAGGUAGUGUAGUUAAUAGCUGCAUUAUUUGACGUUAGCGACAGAAGAAGCACCGGCUAACUCCGUGCCAGCAGCCGCGGUAAUACGGAGGGUGCGAGCGUUAAUCGGAAUUACUGGGCGUAAAGCGCAUGCAGGUGGUUUGUUAAGUCAGAUGUGAAAGCCCGGGGCUCAACCUCGGAAUAGCAUUUGAAACUGGCAGACUAGAGUACUGUAGAGGGGGGUAGAAUUUCAGGUGUAGCGGUGAAAUGCGUAGAGAUCUGAAGGAAUACCGGUGGCGAAGGCGGCCCCCUGGACAGAUACUGACACUCAGAUGCGAAAGCGUGGGGAGCAAACAGGAUUAGAUACCCUGGUAGUCCACGCCGUAAACGAUGUCUACUUGGAGGUUGUGGCCUUGAGCCGUGGCUUUCGGAGCUAACGCGUUAAGUAGACCGCCUGGGGAGUACGGUCGCAAGAUUAAAACUCAAAUGAAUUGACGGGGGCCCGCACAAGCGGUGGAACAUGUGGUUUAAUUCGAUGCAACGCGAAGAACCUU